GACGAACGCUGGCGGCGUGCUUAACACAUGCAAGUCGAGCGGUAAGGCUCCUUCGGGAGUACACGAGCGGCGAACGGGUGAGUAACACGUGAGCAAUCUGCCCAUCUCUUUGGAAUAAGCGUUGGAAACGACGUCUAAUGCCGAAUACGACCUCCUUCGCAUGAUCGGAGGUGGAAAGCUCCGGCGGAGAUGGAUGAGCUCGCGGCCUAUCAGCUAGCGGUGAGGUAACGGCCACCAAGGCGACGACGGGUAGCCGGCCUGAGAGGGUGACCGGCCACACUGGGACUGAGACACGGCCAGACUCCUACGGGAGGCAGCA
rnacentral:rRNA from 1 species